GCUGCUCCCUCUUCACCCUUGCCUAGGAAAAACCAGUUUGUCUUUUUCAUUGUCUGCCGCCAACCUCUACUCUAAAAAUUUCACUGGUCCCAAACUACGCUCCAUGCUCUCUCCUCCUUCCCAGCUGCCCUUAGGCCCUCUCCUGACUCCACUUCUGUCUGCUUUCCUCUCCUCUUUCCCUAAAGGGAGAAUUGCACUGUCGGGACCAACCCUCCCCAUCCGGGGAGCUGCUUGGACUGCACAGGCCACUAAACUGGGCGCUCUGUGCAGUAAGUGUGCGCCUCUCUUCCGGUCCUCAGUUCUCGGGGACAACAAAAGACCCUUCCAAGCCUGGAAGUUCUUCUCUUCCCCUCUCAUGUGUGUGACUCCUUAGCCAUCUCUUUGCUCUGCAUUAUCAUUACAACAAAAACCAAUUUGUUCUUUUACAUCAAACUCAAAGCCGGGCCCUGAUGCCUGAAGGUUCAGAGCUGCGUAUGUACAGCACCAAGUGCAUGGCCUUCCACAGCGACACCAUCCUGUCUGCAGCACUCACCCUGGAGGGGAAGGACCCCACGUGUGGUCAAGGCUCUCUGCACGCCAAGCUGAGGAACCGAAGAAACCAGGGCACCUCGCAUACUGGGAGGCUUGGCCGGAGCCCUCUGACCUGGAAUCCUUUUAAAGGAAGAAGUGCCCAUGUAUUUCUGUGUUGUUACCGACUGAGGAGGCAGGGAGUGGGCCAAACCUCGAGGGCCAAAAACUGAGCGGAAGACUCCGGGUCUCUGGCGCUGAGGUCUGCCAGCCCCACGCCCCACACCCCUCUCCCCCAAGCCCCAGCAGCUCAGAUUCUUGACUCCCCUGGCCCACCAGGCGGGUUGGCCACACCGAGAGGCACCGAGAGCUGGCGAGUGAGCAGUGAGCUGCCCGUCCACCUUCCCAUUCCACCCCCUCCCUUUCUGUCUUGUAACCCCAUUGCAAAGCAGGGCUCGCCACAAACACAACACGGAGAAAAUGGUUUCAUCAAAAUUCCCUUGCAACAGCAACAACGAAAAAUAAUAUUACCCUGCUUUCUACAUUCAUGAUCUUUUAUUGAGGCGAAAAGCAAAUAUCAUUGAGUCAGACCUUAAUAAACAAAUAUAUACAACCGUCAGUAAUUUAAUAUUUUGUGCUAAUGGUACACACUGUAGACACAGCCCAAGAGGAGUAAAUUACAAUCCUAUCAAUAAUACAUCACAUCUGGGCUCCGGUUUCCCAGUGCAGGAGAAAAUGUGUAUUGGCAAAGGCUCUCCGAAUAUUAAAAGCCACACAUAUAAUGAGG
rnacentral:lncRNA from 1 species